rnacentral:lncRNA from 1 species
GUUGCACAACUUGCACUUCGAGGAAUAAAAGCAGCUAUUACUUAUUUUGGACAAGAUCCUAAAAUCCUCUUACAGGAAACUGGUCUGAAGGAUUUGACGAAAAGCUUGAGGCGCUACGUACAGCAGUGAUGACGAUUUCUGAAAAUUUGGAGUGGGCCACAGGAGGAUCGUCAGUGGGUAUACCACAAUUUUAACUUUUUUUCAGACGUCAAAAUUUUAAAACAUGAGGCACUGAAGUAAUAGUUCUGUGGUUUAGACCAAUUGCAACUCUUCCAAAAGUCCAUCCUCAGUUACAAGCACUAAAAUUUGAUAACUCUCAAAUUCAUGUAAAUCUGGUUAUGGGGAUCAAAGACCUCUGGAUUCCAAGUUCAAUAGCGUCCACAUGCCUACUCACCCACAGUACACUAAUAUGGUUAUUAAAUUUAUUGUAAUAUAUAAAUUUGUAACUGUAUAUAAACCAUGGAAUACUUUGAUUCUGUGCGAAAAUAUUUACAGCCUAAUUAAGUAUGCC